rnacentral:rRNA from 1 species
GUCGAACGAAGCACUUUAUUUGAUUUCCUUCGGGACUGAUUAUUUUGUCACUGAGUGGCGGACGGGUGAGUAACGCGUGGGUAACCUGCCUUGUACAGGGGGAUAACAGUUGGAAACGGCUGCUAAUACCGCAUAAGCGCACAGCAUCGCAUGAUGCAGUGUGAAAAACUCCGGUGGUAUAAGAUGGACCCGCGUUGGAUUAGCUAGUUGGUGAGGUAACGGCCCACCAAGGCGACGAUCCAUAGCCGACCUGAGAGGGUGACCGGCCACAUUGGGACUGAGACACGGCCCAAACUCCUACGGGAGGCAGCAGUGGGGAAUAUUGCACAAUGGGCGAAAGCCUGAUGCAGCGACGCCGCGUGAGCGAAGAAGUAUUUCGGUAUGUAAAGCUCUAUCAGCAGGGAAGAUAAUGACGGUACCUGACUAAGAAGCACCGGCUAAAUACGUGCCAGCAGCCGCGGUAAUACGUAUGGUGCAAGCGUUAUCCGGAUUUACUGGGUGUAAAGGGAGCGCAGGCGGUGCGGCAAGUCUGAUGUGAAAGCCCGGGGCUCAACCCCGGUACUGCAUUGGAAACUGUCGUACUAGAGUGUCGGAGGGGUAAGCGGAAUUCCUAGUGUAGCGGUGAAAUGCGUAGAUAUUAGGAGGAACACCAGUGGCGAAGGCGGCUUACUGGACGAUAACUGACGCUGAGGCCCGAAAGCGUGGGGAGCAAACAGGA